rnacentral:piRNA from 1 species
UCUGGAUGUUGCCAACAAAAUUGG